UACGUAGAGUGCGAGCGUUGUCCGGAAUUAUUGGGCGUAAAGAGCUCGUAGGCGGUCUGUCGCGUCGGCUGUGAAAUCCCGAGGCUCAACCUCGGGUCUGCAGUCGAUACGGGCAAACUGGAGUGUUGCAGGGGAGACUGGAAUUCCUGGUGUAGCGGUGAAAUGCGCAGAUAUCAGGAGGAACACCGGUGGCGAAGGCGGGUCUCUGGGCAACAACUGACGCUGAGGAGCGAAAGCGUGGGGAGCGAACAGG
rnacentral:rRNA from 1 species